rnacentral:rRNA from 1 species
UACGUAGGGUGCAAGCGUUGUCCGGAAUUAUUGGGCGUAAAGAGCUCGUAGGCGGUUUGUCGCGUCUGCUGUGAAAACUCGGGGCUUAACUCCGGGCCUGCAGUGGGUACGGGCAGACUAGAGUUCGGUAGGGGGGACUGGAAUUCCUGGUGUAGCGGUGAAAUGCGCAGAUAUCAGGAGGAACACCGGUGGCGAAGGCGGGUCUCUGGGCCGAUACUGACGCUGAGGAGCGAAAGCGUGGGGAGCGAACAGG